rnacentral:lncRNA from 1 species
UGUUUAAUUGGCCUCCCUCUGGGGAGGAAAGGAGUACAGUCGCUUUGCUCAUUUCUCAUGACCAACGCCAACUCGAUGCCUGGCACAACACACUGGGCCCUCAGAGUCUGACGAUCAACACACUGGAAGUAAUUGGCAUGCCAUCAUGGUGUCCCUGUCACGGCCCACUCAGAACCCGCAUGGGACAUAGCCCAUACUCUCAUUCAAACGAUAGCCACACUGACCCGGCGGAAUGGUUCCUUCUGUCCAUGUUGACAGGCCUGGCUUUGGCCCUCUGGCUUUGUCUGGGAGCCAUGGCUGUCAUCAUGUGGGUGCAGUAUAGGCUUUCGACCCAUUCAUUGUCCUGUCUGCCCCAGCACUAAUGCAGAGCUACAAAAAUAGCUGCACUGUUGACGGUCUCUUGGUCACAUCUGUUUCCCUCACAAACAUAGCCUGUGGUUUUCUGCUGCAGAGAGCCUGUGUUACGAUUUUUUGUUCCUUCCAAUGGCUCAUCAAAAAAAAAUAAACAAAGCCUGCCUCUGCCA